UACAGAGGUGGCAAGCGUUGUUCGGAAUUACUGGGCGUAAAGGGCGCGUAGGCGGUCUUGUAAGUCUCGUGUGAAAUCCCUCGGCUUAACUGAGGAACUGCACGGGAUACUGCAUGACUUGAGAUCGGGAGAGGGAAGCGGAAUUCCGGGUGUAGCGGUGAAAUGCGUAGAUAUCCGGAGGAACACCAGUGGCGAAGGCGGCUUCCUGGACCGACACUGACGCUGAGGCGCGAAAGCUAGGGGAGCAAACGGG
rnacentral:rRNA from 1 species